GUUUUCAAAAAAAAAUGAGCAUACAGAGUUCCCAUGUACCCCCUCUCCAGGAACCCCUCCCCGGGUUUUCCCAUUGUUAACAUCUGGUAUUAGUGUAGUACGUUUUUACAAUUGAGCCAAUGAUACAUUAUUUUUAACUGAAGUCCAUCGUUUAGAUAGGUAAGCCUAAUCUUAGAGGAAGAGGUGGCCUUCGAGGAAGAGGAGAAAAGAGAAAUCACUCAGAAGAAAGGCCAUGUGAGGACACAGCAGCCAUCUGCAAGCCAGGAAGAGAGCCUUCGGUGUAAAUAGAACUCUACUGACACCUUAAUCUUGGACUUCCAGCCUGCAGAACUGUGGGAAGAAGAAGAAACUGAAGCCCGUGGAGAUUAAGAGACUUAUUUUCACAAGACACGUGGGAUGCAGCCAGGUCACAAACCUUCAUCGUCUGAUAUCUUUCAGCACUUGCUUCUAUAAGGUUUGCCAAGUUUAUAAAAGCUGGAAUACUGCCACAUGAAGUGACACAACGAGAAGGAACCAACUAUGAGCUAGAAAUCUGGGCUUCACCAGACACUGGAUCUGCUGGCGCUUUGAUCUUGGAUUUUUCAAUCUCCAGA